UUGCCACUAGCUUGAGAGCCACAGGAAUCAUUCUACUCUCCCUCAAUGGGAGGAAUAGUCCCAGUGUUCUAACCCAGCUGCAGUCCCAAAACGGGAUACAUGUGAUAGGACCAUGUGCACCACUACGAUGGUCCUCACCACUAUUGCUGUCAUCCUAUACAGAAAGUUCUCAAACCGAGUCGAACCGCACAAUGUUGAUGAUACCAAUGAGGAGCCCUACAUGAAGAGCAAUGGAGUCGACCCUAAGAAAUAAUAACUCUCACAGCAGAUGUAGCUCUAGUCUACAGUCUACAUGGUAGAUAAAAGUAAAAUAACAAGUAGCCUACAGAACUGAAUGCUGUCUGAUAUUUCAAGAUGUGGAAAGGAAUGCAAGAGGAGGAGGGGAGGAGAGAGGGAGGUAAAAUGGAACAUGUGGCAGAAGUAGAGAUGCAUGAAGUGAGAAGAUGUAUGCCCGUUCCACAUUUAGCUUUCAAGUACUCACCACUACGCUGCUCCCACUAAAUUAUUUAGUGGCAGAACAACAAUCUAUCAACUCUGUGGAAGGUUAUUAUAAAUGCAUUACCUCCCCAAGCCUACCAGUUCAAUGGAGUCGUGCAGGGCCUCAUAAAUAUGGGUCAAUAAAGGGACACACACAAAAGACUCAGGAUGAAUGAAAUAGGCUUUAUUGUUUUAGUGUGAACUUUCACCCUACCUGUGCGUAGAAGCUCUCAGAUCUGAGGCGGGUCUUUUCAAAUUAAGAGACACACGAACUGAAGACAGGUCUUCAACUUGAUGGCUACACAUCUGUCUAGUUUGACAGGCAAACAUCCUAUAACCUAAACCCCAAAAGGGGUAUGUUACAGACAACAGCAGCAGCUCCAUCUCAGUCAUCUGGAAUUGAUGCAGCUGGCGCCAUUGCCUCUCCAGUGUUCAGAGACUGUGCAUUGCCAUGUGAAAAGCAUCUGGAAUUAAUAACAGGCCAGGGCAAGCCAGCACAACAAGAAUAUUUUUUUUAUCACAUCUUCAAUCCCCCAUCUGUCCUGCAGAUCCCUCUAAUGUUAUUUCAGCAUAGGAUUGUCCCAGGAGGCCUCCCUCCUCCUUCUUGAGGCAGGAGAAUUCAAUUUCUGGGAAUGAAACCUCAACCAAUCACAUCUUGGUGGAGCUGAAUCUACAGAACAACAUCUUGGUUUAUUGUGGGUUUCUUGUUUUGUAGAGUUGGAUGUUUUAUUAAGGCUUAAAGUAGGCCAAUGAUCAAUGUAAAACUGUUGGAAUGUGUUCCGUGCCUCAAAAAACAGUAGUUUUCUUUGAUUGUCAAAUAGGGCUGUACAGAUUUGUGUCCAUUGAGUAAAUUAUAAUGGCUUUUAAAGAAGAGGCAGAACUUUAAAAUGAUGCACUUUAAAUGGUAGGAUGUUUUUGGUAAUCUUUCACAUUCCUAAAGUGACUUAAAUAUUGUUUUUGACUGAAACAAGGAGCUUUGGAUAAGCAAUAUGUUUAAAAUGAAAUCGCUUGAACCCAUAAAUAUUUGACCAAAUGUCAGAGAACAUAAAUGUCUUGUAGUGAAGAUGUGUGUGCCAUGGCUACUAAAUCUAAAGAGCAAUGGAGAGAGGCCUCUGUUUUGUACCUCUAUGUCAACCCUCUCCAGUCACAAUGCAUUGCUGCAAGUGAACCACCUCUUCCCCUACACCUUUAGCGUCCCGUUGGUCCCAUUGAAGGAGCAACAGUCAGAAAGAGGUGUCUGCCUAUGUUCAAAACACAGCUCCAACUUUACUUGACAUUUUUAAAAGCAGCUAGGUGUCACCUUAGUAAACGUCUGCCUUGAGUCAGAGCUUGGUGAUGAUGGUGGUUACUGGUAGGACGGUUUGUUACAGAAUCGACUUUCCUUUGACAUGACAUCUUACAACUUGCUUCUUCUCUCUAAAGCAAACAUUAUGUAUGUUCUUUGCUCUCCCCACCUGAUCAAAUAAAGAGAU